rnacentral:rRNA from 1 species
UACGUAGGGUGCGAGCGUUAAUCGGAAUUACUGGGCGUAAAGCGUGCGCAGGCGGUUCGUUGUGUCGGUGGUGAAAUCCCCGGGCUUAACCUGGGAAUGGCCAUGGAAACUGGCGAACUGGAGUGCGGCAGAGGGGGGUGGAAUUCCGCGUGUAGCAGUGAAAUGCGUAGAGAUGCGGAGGAACACCAAUAGCGAAGGCAGCUCGCUGGGACGGUACUGACGCUGAGGCGCGAAAGCGUGGGGAGCGAACAGG